rnacentral:rRNA from 1 species
CGGGGUGCAGCAGGCGCGAAAACUUUACAAUGCGGGAAACCGUGAUAAGGGGACACCGAGUGCCAGCAUCAUAUGCUGGCUGUCCAGGUGUGUAAAAUACACCUGUUAGCAAGGGCCGGGCAAGACCGGUGCCAGCCGCCGCGGUAACACCGGCGGCCCGAGUGGUGAUCGUGAUUAUUGGGUCUAAAGGGUCCGUAGCCGGUUUGGUCAGUCCUCCGGGAAAUCUGAUAGCUUAACUAUUAGGCUUUCGGAGGAUACUGCCAGACUUGGAACCGGGAGAGGUAAGAGGUACUACAGGGGUAGGAGUGAAAUCUUGUAAUCCCUGUGGGACCACCUGUGGCGAAGGCGUCUUACCAGAACGGGUUCGACGGUGAGGGACGAAAGCUGGGGGCACGAACCGGAUUAGAUACCCGGGUAGUCCCAGCCGUAAACGAUGCUCGCUAGGUGUCAGGCAUGGCGCGACCGUGUCUGGUGCCGCAGGGAAGCCGUGAAGCGAGCCACCUGGGAAGUACGGCCGCAAGGCUGAAACUUAAAGGAAUUGGCGGGGGAGCACAAGGGCAAUUCGCG